rnacentral:rRNA from 1 species
AUGGUGCUGAUCCGGUCCUUGCUGCUGGAUCCGGCCCUCUCCACUCCUCCUCCCAGUCUGAUCCAAUGGCGACUGCACGACGUCGACCUCCCGGAUGGCGUGAAGUCCCAGCGGCAACCUCAGGCCCCUUGCGGUUGGGGUCGAUUUGAGGUGGCUCCGGUGGAAACAUGGACCACAUCACACUGUUACAGGGGCUCCCGAGGCGACAUCCAGUUGCUCCGUGUUCGUUUUGCACAUGUUCAUAGUGGGCAACCUCGAGGUCAUCGUCACUUCGAGCGCGGCGAGAUCCUCGAGGUCGUCAUCAUCACAGACAAGGGCACUGGCAGAUCCAAUGGCAGCGGAUUCGAGGCGGAGGCGGCCAUUAGGGUGUGCUUGAGUCCGUACCCGAUGAUUAGCGGCCGGAGGGCAACUGCAACCUUGCAUGCCUCGGGUCCAGAGGUCCAAGGCACCACAACCAACUGCCUCUUCAGCCAUAUGCUGCAGAUGGUUGCCCUUCAAGCAUCAACAAAUUGGAAAAUUCAAGCUCUGAUGAGAUUACAAGCAGGGCAGAAAGGGAAUCAACACCAUCACUCCAAAACAUUGAAGGCAGUAGAUUACCGAGCCUGCAUCAUGAUGGCCCUUCUUUAUGUCAGUUGUCUUGGACCAGUUAAAGUCUGUUCUGCUGAAUGCCUCUUUUAUUUGCCAAGCUCCAAUGGCUUACCAAGAUGUGGCUUUUUUCAUGGACCAAGGCGGAACAAUGGAAGGCACAAUUCCAAGUACAGCUCUUCAAGAACAGGAUCUCUGAAGGAACAACAAUUUACAAGCUUGGCGCUUACCAGGAAACUUGGCCUUCAAGUCCUGUCUGGCAACUCGAUGGACCAGUACUAUAAACUGGAAAUAAAGAGAACUGAAGUGUCCCCUUCCAUGGCGUUGGGCGGCCUUUCUCUGCCAGGCGCGGCGGCUCCUCGGUCUGAGCUGUGUGCAAGGAAGCUCAAGACAUUGGAGGAAAGCAUUGUCGGAUAUAUGGUAAACCGCAGGAUGUUUUCCCCACCAUGGAUGUCUUCUUAUGUCAACCUGCUCUUGAUAUAUAAUACGCCAUCAUCUCUUGGAGUAUGUGAGUACAUUUUCAUAGUUUUGCUAAAGUCUAGAAAAGAUGUCAAGCAAUGGUCUGAGAUAAAACGGAUGGCUUCGGAUGAUGCUUUGAAAAUAGUAUAUAUCAAAGAGAUGGAGAGGGAUUAUGUCGAUGUUCAAAAAGAAUCCAUAGACAAGGGUCCCAAGGCAAUGUCGUUGGAAGGGGUUGAAAAUUUUCUGAGCUUUAUACAACAAUAUUGGAUAUGCAAGCAGAAAAAAAAGGCUAAGGCCCCUUUUGGUUCAUAG